CAGCCGUAAACUAUGCGCGUUAGGUGUAUCGGUGACCACGAGUUACCGAGGUGCCGAAGGGAAACCGUGAAACGUGCCGCCUGGGAAGUACGGUCGCAAGGCCGAAACUUAAAGGAAUUGGCGGGGGAGCACCACAACAGGUGGAGCCUGCGGUUUAAUUGGACUCAACGCCGGGAAGCUCACCGGAUAGGACAGCAGAAUGAUUGCCGGGCUGAAGACCCUGCAUGACUAGCUGAGAGGAGGUGCAUGGCGUAGACGUCU
rnacentral:rRNA from 1 species